rnacentral:rRNA from 1 species
CCCCCCUGAACUAGCGUUCAAGACUAAGCCAUGCAAGUGUAAGCUCAUGACGUUAUCGUCGAAGCCGCAGACGGCUCCGUACAAGGCAGUUAAUCUACGGUCCAGCGAAAUUCCUUACGGAUAUCUCUGGUAAGCUAGAGCCAAUACGUGUGACAAAUUCUCCGGUUUUCGCGAACCGGGGUGCAGUUAUCGGACCGAAGCGCGCAGACGUUCGCGUUUGCGUUCAGGUGACUCUGGAUAACCUUGCCGACCGCGAGACUUGCUCGACGGCGUGGACCACGAGACUGCCACCUAUCAACUUUUGACGGUAGGGUAUUGGCCUACGGUGGUUGCAACGGGUACGGGGAAUCAGGGUUCGAUUCCGGAGAGUAGGCCUGAGAAACGGCCGCCAUUGCCACGGCACACAGCAGGUGCGCAAAUUUGUCAAUAUUCGAACGAAUGAACGAGUGAGAACGUAUUGUCGGGUGGAACGAAAUUCGUUACCGCCACGUCGAUGAGACUAGUCCAAAAAGCUAGUCGAACACCGCUGGAGGGCAAGUCUGGUGCCAGCAGCCGCGGUAAUUCCAGCUCCGGGAGUUCACGGGAUUAUUGCUGAGACUAAAACGUCCGUAGUCGAAACUAGGACCUCCGAUGGUCGUUUUUCGAUCCUCGUAUGGAUCGGAUGGGACUAUCGGCGGCACGACCCUCGUGGCGACCGAAAGGCCGUCGCUGGGUCCGCAUCCUUGACCUAAACCAAACGAUCGAAGUGAGCUCGUGCUCGAUGGUUUUGCAUGGAAUCGUGGAACGGGGCCGGCAUCCUUAGCUUCGAGGAUGCCGGCGACGAUCAACGGGAGCGAUCAGAGGUGAGGGAACUGCAGGGCGAGGGGUAAAAUCUAGUGAGCCUUGCAAGACCACCGAAAGCGAAAGCAUUCACCAGGAGCGUUUCCGUCGAUAAAGGACCGAAGCCACCGUAGUGAACUGGAUUAGAUACCCAGGUAUCGGUGUGCCCCAAACUAUGCCGACCGGUCGGAUGCUCGAUCUACCAUACGUGGCGGGUAUCCGGUCCGAGGAAGCUGGAGCGAUUUGGCUUCUGGGAGAUUACGGCUGCAAAGUUGAAACUUAAAGGAAUUGACGGAAGGGCACCAUCAGGCCUGGAUUAUGUGGCUCAAUUGGACUCGACGCCCAGUACUCAACCAGGACCGGAGCGCCCGACGAAGCACGGCUCGAAUAGCCUUGCCGAUGAGCGUGCGGGUGGUGCAUGGCCGCCGUAGUUCGUGAGGUGACUUGUCUGGUUAAUUCCGACAACGGACGCAACCGCCCUGUUCGAAUAUCGUGCGAUCGGCGCUUCGGUACGUCUCGCGCUGGAAACUCGAACAGACUAACUCGUGGAGUGGGAUAUUACCGCGACCGAGAGGAAGCUACGGCGAUGGCAGGUCUGUGAUGCCCCUAGAAGCCCUGGGUUGCACACGUCAUACAAUGCCCGUCAGAACGCGCUUUCGCCGUGCCGAAAGGUACGGCUUAAUCGUCGUAAAAGCGGGCCCGGUUGGGAUCGAGGAUUGCAACUGUUCCUCGUGAACAAGGAACGCCUCGUAGUGGCGGGUCAUCAACUCGCCGCGAAUAAGUCCCUGUCCUUUGUACACACCGCCCGUCACUACAGCCAAUGUAUCGUCAGCGUCAAGCAGCUGGACGGACUUCGUUUCGACGCGGUCCGAAAAGCUUCUGAACGUCGAUGGUGGGAGGGUGUAAAAGUCGUAACACGGUCCCCGU